UCUUUUUAGCAUCAGCAUGCAUGCUUGGAGACUCUUCACUUUCAUCUACAAUGUUUCAAAGAUCCAAAGAUGCCAAUAAAAGCUCCAUUUUUACCUUUCAAUGGUAGAAAUUGUCACCUUUAAACUUUUCAAUCACUCUCAAACCUUCACCCUCACUAGAAGCCAUGGCUAAGAAUAGGUCUAUUAAAAAAUAUCAAAAAAAAAGAGUCUCUAUGUGCUUAAAAUCACCAAAAUGAUUUUACACUAGCAAAAU
rnacentral:lncRNA from 1 species